AGCGAACGCUGGCGGCAGGCUUAACACAUGCCAGUCGAGCGGACCUUUCGGGGUCAGCGGCGGACGGGUGAGUAACGCGUGGGAACGUGCCUUCCGGUUCGGAAUAACCCUGGGAAACUAGGGCUAAUACCGGAUACGCCCUUAUGGGGAAAGGUUUACUGCCGGAAGAUCGGCCCGCGUCUGAUUAGCUAGUUGGUGGGGUAACGGCCUACCAAGGCGACGAUCAGUAGCUGGUCUGAGAGGAUGAUCAGCCACACUGGGACUGAGACACGGCCCAGACUCCUACGGGAGGCAGCAGUGGGGAAUAUUGGACAAUGGGCGCAAGCCUGAUCCAGCCAUGCCGCGUGAGUGAUGAAGGCCUUAGGGUUGUAAAGCUCUUUUAUCCGGGACGAUAAUGACGGUACCGGAAGAAUAAGCCCCGGCUAACUUCGUG
rnacentral:rRNA from 1 species